CCUACGGGACGCAGCAGUGAGGAAUAUUGGUCAAUGGCCGAGAGGCUGAACCGGCCAAGUCGCGUGAGGGAUGACGGCCCUACGGGUUGUAAACCUCUUUUGUCGGGGAGCAAGACCCGCCACGAGUGGCGGAGCGAGAGUACCCGAAGAAAAAGCAUCGGCUAACUCCGUGCCAGCAGCCGCGGUAAUACGGAGGAUGCGAGCGUUAUCCGGAUUUAUUGGGUUUAAAGGGUGCGUAGGCGGGACGGUAAGUCAGCGGUAAAAAUGCGGAGCUCAACUCCGUCGAGCCGUUGAAACUGGCAGAC
rnacentral:rRNA from 1 species